rnacentral:rRNA from 1 species
ACGGAAGGCAGCAGUGGGGAAUAUUGCACAAUGGGCGAAAGCCUGAUGCAGCGACGCCGCGUGAGUGAUGAAGUAUUUCGGUAUGUAAAGCUCUAUCAGCAGGGAAGAUAAUGACGGUACCUGACUAAGAAGCACCGGCUAAAUACGUGCCAGCAGCCGCGGUAGUACGUAUGGUGCAAGCGUUAUCCGGAUUUACUGGGUGUAAAGGGAGCGCAGGCGGUACGGCAAGUCUGAUGUGAAAGCCCGGGGCUCAACCCCGGUACUGCAUUGGAAACUGUCGAACUAGAGUGUCGGAGGGGUAAGUGGAAUUCCUAGUGUAGCGGUGAAAUGCGUAGAUAUUAGGAGGAACACCAGUGGCGAAGGCGACUUACUGGACGAUAACUGACGCUGAGGCUCGAAAGCGUGGGGAGCAAACAGGAUUAGAUACCCUGGUA